GAUGAACGCUGGCGGCGUGCUUAACACAUGCAAGUCGAACGGAAAGGCUCCUGCUUGCAGGGGUACUCGAGUGGCGAACGGGUGAGUAACACGUGGGUGAUCUGCCCUGCACUUCGGGAUAAGCCUGGGAAACUGGGUCUAAUACCGGAUAGGACCACAUUUUGGUUGGUGUGGUGGAAAGUUUUUCGGUGUGGGAUGAGCUCGCGGCCUAUCAGCUUGUUGGUGGGGUGAUGGCCUACCAAGGCGUCGACGGGUAGCCGGCCUGAGAGGGUGUACGGCCACAUUGGGACUGAGAUACGGCACAGACUCCUACGGGAGGCAGCAGUGGGGAAUAUUGCACAAUGGGCGCAAGCCUGAUGCAGCGACGCCGCGUGGGGGAUGACGGCCUUCGGGUUGUAAACUCCUUUCGCUAGGGACGAAGCGCAAGUGACGGUACCUGGAGAAGAAGCACCGGCUAACUACGUG
rnacentral:rRNA from 1 species